AAUGAACGCUGGCGGCAGGCUUAACACAUGCAAGUCGAGCGCCCCGCAAGGGGAGCGGCAGACGGGUGAGUAACGCGUGGGAACGUACCCUUUGCUACGGAAUAGCUCCGGGAAACUGGAAUUAAUACCGUAUGUGCCCUACGGGGGAAAGAUUUAUCGGCAAAGGAUCGGCCCGCGUUGGAUUAGCUAGUUGGUGGGGUAAUGGCCUACCAAGGCGACGAUCCAUAGCUGGUCUGAGAGGAUGAUCAGCCACAUUGGGACUGAGACACGGCCCAAACUCCUACGGGAGGCAGCAGUGGGGAAUAUUGGACAAUGGGCGCAAGCCUGAUCCAGCCAUGCCGCGUGAGUGAUGAAGGCCUUAGGGUUGUAAAGCUCUUUCACCGGAGAAGAUAAUGACGGUAUCCGGAGAAGAAGCCCCGGCUAACUUCGUGCCAGCCGCCGCUGUAAUAC
rnacentral:rRNA from 1 species